rnacentral:rRNA from 1 species
CCUACGGGUGGCAGCAGUGGGGAAUAUUGGACAAUGGGGGCAACCCUGAUCCAGCCAUGCCGCGUGUGUGAAGAAGGCCCUCGGGUUGUAAAGCACUUUCAGUGAGGAAGAACGCCUGGUGGUUAAUACCCAUCAGGAAAGACAUCACUCACAGAAGAAGCACCGGCUAACUCCGUGCCAGCAGCCGCGGUAAUACGGAGGGUGCGAGCGUUAAUCGGAAUUACUGGGCGUAAAGCGCGCGUAGGUGGCUUGAUAAGCCGGUUGUGAAAGCCCCGGGCUCAACCUGGGAACGGCAUCCGGAACUGUCAAGCUAGAGUGCAGGAGAGGAAGGUAGAAUUCCCGGUGUAGCGGUGAAAUGCGUAGAGAUCGGGAGGAAUACCAGUGGCGAAGGCGGCCUUCUGGACUGAAACUGACACUGAGGUGCGAAAGCGUGGGUAGCAAACAGGAUUAGAUACCCUGGUAGUC